rnacentral:rRNA from 1 species
AAAAUCUCAACUUUAUUAGAAGAGGCGCAUUUAUUAGAUAAAGCCAAUGCAUGCUUUUACAGUAUGGAAAUUGGUGAUUUAUAAUAACUUAGCAAAUCGCAAAGUGAAAACAGGCGAUAAAUCAUUCAAGUUUCUGACCUAUCAGCUUUCGACGGUAUGGUAUUGGCUUACCGUGGCAGUGACGGUUAACGGGGGAUUAGGGUUCGAUUCCGGAGAGGGAGCCUGAGAAACGGCUACCACAUCUAAGGAAGGCAGCAGGCGCGCAAAUUACCCAAUUCUAACAGUUUAAGAGAGGUAGUAACAAGAAAUAACAAUACAAGGCAAUUAAAAUGCUUUGUAAUUGGAAUGAUAGAAAUUUAAACCCUUUUUAAAGUAUCAAUUGGAGGGCAAGUCUGGUGCCAGCAGCCGCGGUAAUUCCAGCUCCAAUAGCGUAUAUUAAAAUUGUUGCAGUUAAAAAGCUCGUAGUUGAAGUUCUGCUAAAAGUAACCGGUCUGCUUUUAAUAAAAGUGGUAUCUUGGUGUGUAUUUAGCAAUGAUGUCCUUUGAAGUGUUUUUUACUUUAUUGUAAUAAAGCAUAUUCAGGACUUUUACUUUGAGAAAAUUAGAGUGUUUCUAGCAGGCCAACGCUUUGAAUACUGCAGCAUG